CGAUACAUGUUAGUUUAGCACACUGUUUGGAGGUUUGGACAGAAAUGCAGUUGCUUACUCUGAUCACUUUGUUCGCCUAUAUAACCAACGCUGUACACUGUGGGAGAUAUCAAGAAUGUCCCGAGGACUGGACAAGGGCGAAUGAGAAAUGCUACAAGUUCCUUAAUGAACAUGUUGACCGGAAUGAUGCGUCUGGAAGAUGCAAACGACGCUUUUCUGCUUCACUUGCCGUGAUUGACAACGAAGAAGAGAACACAGUCGUUAAAGAUCUUGCCCGCCACCACAGGUACGCAUGGAUUGGCUUACAUCGCCGAAACAGAAAAUUUCAAUGGAACGAGAAUUCUAAGUUGCAGGUGAAAUAUGUUAACUGGCAGGGUGCUCCUCAACGAUACAUGAAAAUGUGCGCAAGGAUCAGCGGCUAUGGUGGCCUAUGGGUGCCUUCCUAUUGCUGGGAAGAAUCCCCUUAUGUGUGUUGGAAAAAAGCCGACUGUGAACCAGGCUGGACUGGAGACGAGUGUGACCGCCAGUGUCACUGCUACCGAGGCUACUUCUGUAAUAGAUUUGACGCUUGCCCGUAUGGAUGUGAACUCGGAUGGGCUGGAAAAUAUUGUGAAAGACGACUAGAAAAACCUACAGUGUCCUUCUACUGCAUGAAAGAAAGAGAAGGCUACUCUCUGGUUGUUUCCUUCGACACGAAAGGCGUUCACUUCACGAAUAUCGGAGCCGUGAACGCUGAAGGGGAGAUCAGCCCAAAGUGUGACAAGAAAACAUUUGUCUGGCUCAAUGGGGAAUCGCGUUUAAAAGUUCAGAUUCAAAACACAUCGGGAGUUUUGGAAUCGGAUUGUCCCACAGAAACGAUCAGUCAGGGGGUCCUGAAAUGGACAUUCAGGCUUCAGAAGAAGAAAGACGUGGUAUCGUUUGAAGAUGAGGACCUCCAAGUCCACUGUGAUCUGUCCGAAGCUGAUGCUGCAUACGAUGACACUGGCAGACUCCCGAUAGAGAAUAUACGAGUGAGGUCCUUAACGUCUGCCACCCAGACUAGGGUCAACGUUCGGACAUACCUUGCUAAUCCUCGCAGUCUGGAACCGGUCACAAAUGUCAGCCUUGGUGUUCCAGUCAGACUGGUGGUCAAGCUUCCAGAAGGGAAUGACGUCGUCAAUCCGUUGUUUUACCCCAGGAACUGUCAAGCUGCAUCUCCAGAUGGAAACGUUACUGUACGACUGACUGACGACUUAGGAUGUUCUCUGAGGGAAGACAUCGGCUUCGGAAUAAUGGACAAAGUCUCUGGUGUGGUCCAGUCGGAGGUAUUCCCACUGUUUCAGCUGCCAGGCUACACAGAAGUGGUGUUCUCUUGUAAUCUUGUACCCUCGUACAACAUUCAGAUACGAGACACAGGAUUGUAGCUCUCGUGGAUGAGGCUUCGAAUGGACAAAGUACAAGAACGAUCAUAUGGAAGGUCAUAACAGUGAACUCUUCACACAAGCCAGUCCACAACUCUGAGACAGCAGCCAUUCCAAACCCUGCAAUCUGUUGGCCACUCACAGCGUUGAUAACCAAACCUCUAUGCUCUAAUUAAACACCAGUAUCACCUUCUCUCA